CUACGAAGGGGGCUAGCGUUGUUCGGAAUAACUGGGCGUAAAGCGCACGUAGGCGGAAUGUUAAGUUAGAGGUGAAAUCCCAGGGCUCAACCCUGGAACUGCCUUUAAUACUGGCAAUCUAGAGAUCGAGGGAGGUGAGUGGAAUUCCGAGUGUAGAGGUGAAAUUCGUAGAUAUUCGGAGGAACACCAGUGGCGAAGGCGGCUCACUGGCUCGAUACUGACGCUGAGGUGCGAAAGCGUGGGGAGCAAACAGGAUUAGAAACCCUAGUAGUCC
rnacentral:rRNA from 1 species